rnacentral:rRNA from 1 species
CACGUAGGGCGCGAGCGUUGUCCGGAAUUAUUGGGCGUAAAGAGCUCGUAGGUGGCCUGUUGCGUCCGCUGUGAAAGCCCGGGGCUUAACCCCGAACUUGCAGUGGAUACGGGCAGACUAGAGUGUGGUAGGAGAGACUGGAAUUCCUGGUGUAGCGGUGAAAUGCGCAGAUAUCAGGAGGAACACCGAUGGCGAAGGCAGGUCUCUGGGCCACUACUGACGCUGAGAAGCGAAAGCAUGGGGAGCGAACAGG